CUUUUUCCUUUGGCUAAACUGGACGUUAUCCAUUGCAAUGAUUUCGAAAUUAUUCGCCAUACUGGAUCUGGCACCAAUAGAUCCAGUCGCAGCAAAACUUCCAAUUCUGGUUUGUCUUAAAAUAUGGCAAACUAUUUAUGAAGAACCGCCAACCUUUUAACAUAACUAAAAUAAUAAUUUGGUAUAAUCUAUUCCAAGUUAUUUAUAAUUUUCUUAUGUUUUCGUCUGCGAUCUACAUCGUCUUCAUUAAACCAAUAUACAACUUGGAUCGCAUGCCAACUAUUGCUUUGGACCAUCACAAUAAGAAUACUGAAAGAGUAUUAGCCUAUAUUUAUUUCAUCAGUAAGAUUACAGAAGAUCUAUUAUCUUAUUAAUGAAAUAAAUAUAGGCUAAUGCUCUUUCAGUAUUCUUUUUGGGAUGGUCCAGAGCAAUAGUUGGCAUGCAAUCCAAGUUGUAUAUUUGUUUAAUGAAGAAGACGUACUGCACGUCUUCCACCAUGUUUUCAUGGUCUUUGUCUAAUAUUGGGUGAUGAGAUUCUACGGAACUGGAGGACAAUUUAUGGUAAUGGGACUCCUAAACACAUUUGUGCACGCCGUGAUGUACUUUUAUUACAUGAAUUCCCAGCGAGUUUACAGUUCAUGAUUUCGUUGUCUGCUUCAUUAUUCAUUGUAAUGUUUACGAAUUUUUAAAUUAAGACAUAUAACACGGCUCGUCAACAGAAGCAGCAUUAAGAAUUCGGAAUUAUGAAUUGUAUAUAAUUUUAAUCUAAUGUAAAUUUAAUAAACGGGAA